rnacentral:rRNA from 1 species
GAUGAACGCUGACAGAAUGCUUAACACAUGCAAGUCAACUUGAACUUCGGUUUGGGUGGCGGACGGGUGAGUAACGCGUAAAGAACUUGCCUCACAGAUAGGGACAACAUUUGGAAACGAAUGCUAAUACCUGAUAUUAUGAUUAUAUGGCAUCGUAUAAUUAUGAAAGCUAUAUGCGCUGUGAGAGAGCUUUGCGUCCCAUUAGCUAGUUGGAGAGGUAACGGCUCACCAAGGCGAUGAUGGGUAGCCGGCCUGAGAGGGUGAUCGGCCACAAGGGGACUGAGACACGGCCCUUACUCCUACGGGAGGCAGCAGUGGGGAAUAUGGGACAAUGGACCAAGAGUCUGAUCCAGCAAUUCUGUGUGCACGAUGAAGUUUUUCGGAAUGUAAAGUGCUUUCAGUUGGGAAGAAAAAAAUGACGGUACCAACAGAAGAAGUGACGGCUAAAUACGUG